AGGUUAAGCCAGUGAAAAGGUUAAGCCAGUUACACGGGGAUUUGGGUAAUUAAGAUUGGGUAUGUUUAGUACUAAGAAGUUGAAGAAAUCUGCAUGUGGACCAAUUGCAAGGCUCCAUUUUGUUUCAUUUUGUUUAUAACUAAGAUAUGUACUUGGAGUAUACUAUUACUAUUUGAUUGUUGGGACUAAAUUGAUAGUUUUUUUGGUUUAAUAUGGAUGUUGAAUAUAUGAUACUUUUUGAAAGUUUGUGAA